GUUAUUAUCGUCACCAAGACAUAUAUUUCUUUGACUAAUUAAAACUAUAGGUAUAAUUUACCCUCUACAUAUAUUGUCACCAACUAUUACCACCCAAACUGAGUCACCGAGAUUUACUCCCAACUUCUCCCAAAUUCGUCUCCUAAUUUCCUCCAAAAGUCUCCCUAAUUGUCUCCUAAUUUCCUCCUAAAGUCUCCCUAAUUGUCUCCUUAAUUUCCUCCUAAAGUCUCCCAAAUUAGUCUCCUUAAUUUCCUCCAAAAGUCUCCCUAAUUGUCUCCUUAAUUUCCUCCUGAAGUCUCCCAAAUUAGUCUCCUUAAUUUCCUCCUAAAGUCUCCCAAAUUAGUCUCCUUAAUUUCCUCCUAAAUUCUCCGAGAUUUCAAGUUUGGUGUUUCAUAACAUUCAAUUCCAAACCACAACAAUUACUGCUUUCCGCAGUUG
rnacentral:lncRNA from 1 species